rnacentral:lncRNA from 1 species
CUUUUUCUUUUCGUUGCAGUUGACGAUUGUCCUCCUGGUGUGGCUGUAGUUUUGUGUGCAAGAAAUCCUUGCGAAAAUAUCUCCAGCAAGAGAUGUCGCACCAACAUGUGCGGUGGCUGCUUCGCCGAAUGUUUUGAUGACAAAAAUCAAACAAUAACAUGCGAACAAAAUAACUCGACGGGGAAGGCAACACAAUAAGAGAACAGCAACGAAACAAUCAUUUCAGAGAUCGCCGAUAUAAAGAAA